rnacentral:rRNA from 1 species
GGGUCAGUAGGUUGGUCGUGCCACCGGUACGUACUGGUCUCACUGAUUCCUCCUUCCUGAAGAACCGUAAUGCCAUUAAUUUGGUGUUGCGGGGAAACAGGACUGUUACUUUGAAAAAAUUAGAGUGCUUAAAGCAAGCUAACGCUUGAAUACAUUAGCAUGGAAUAAUGAAAUAGGACGAUCGAUCCUAUUUUGUUGGUUUCUAGGAUUGACGUA